CCUACGGGAGGCAGCAGUGGGGAAUAUUGCACAAUGGGCGAAAGCCUGAUGCAGCGACGCCGCGUGAGGGAUGACGGCCUUCGGGUUGUGAACCUCUUUCAGCAGGGACGAAGCGCAAGUGACGGUACCUGCAGAAGAAGCACCGGCUAACUACGUGCCAGCAGCCGCGGUAAUACGUAGGGUGCAAGCGUUGUCCGGAAUUACUGGGCGUAAAGAGUUCGUAGGCGGUUUGUCGCGUCGUUUGUGAAAACCAGCAGCUCAACUGCUGGCUUGCAGGCGAUACGGGCAGACUUGAGUACUGCAGGGGAGGCUGGAAUUCCUGGUGUAGCGGUGAAAUGCGCAGAUAUCAGGAGGAACACCGGUGGCGAAGGCGGGUCUCUGGGCAGUAACUGACGCUUAGGAACGAAAGCGUGGGUAGCGAACAGGAUUAGAUACCCUGGUAGUCCACGCCGUAAACGGUGGGCGCUAGGUGUUGGGUUCCUUCCACGGAAUCCGUUGCCGUAGCUAAACGCAUUAAGCCGCCCCCCCUGGGGAAGUACGGCCGCAANGCUAAAACUCAAAGGAAUUGACGGGG
rnacentral:rRNA from 1 species